rnacentral:rRNA from 1 species
ACUCCUACGGGAGGCAGCAGUGGGGAAUAUUGCACAAUGGGCGCAAGCCUGAUGCAGCCAUGCCGCGUGUAUGAAGAAGGCCUUCGGGUUGUAAAGUACUUUCAGCAGUGAGGAAGGUGGUGUGUUAAGUAAGCAUACUCAUUUGACGUUAGCUGCAGAAGAAGCACCGGCUAACUCCGUGCCAGCAGCCGCGGUAAUACGGAGGGUGCGAGCGUUAAUCGGAAUUACUGGGCGUAAAGCGCAUGCAGGUGGUUUGUUAAGUCAGAUGUGAAAG